UGACAGCAGCAGCGGUAAUACGGAGGGUGCAAGCGUUGUUCGGAAGUCUUGGGCGUAAAGCGCGUGUAGGCGGUUCGUUAAGUCUGAUGUGAAAGCCCGGGGCUCAACCCCGGAAGUGCAUUGGAAACUGGCGAACUUGAGUACGGGAGAGGAAAGUGGAAUUCCGAGUGUAGGGGUGAAAUCCGUAGAUAUUCGGAGGAACACCAGUGGCGAAGGCGGCUCACUGGCUCGAUACUGACGCUGAGGUGCGUAAGCGUCGGGCGCAAACAGGAUUAGAUA
rnacentral:rRNA from 1 species